CGACCUCAGAUCAGACGUGGCGACCCGCUGAAUUUAAGCAUAUUAGUCAGCGGAGGAAAAGAAACUAACGAGGAUUCCCUCAGUAACGGCGAGUGAAGAGGGAAGAGCCCAGCGCCGAAUCCCCGCCCCGCAGUGGGGCGCGGGACAUGUGGCGUACAGAAGCCCCCCUCCCCGGCGGCGCUCUCGGGGGACCCAAGUCCUUGUGAUCGAGGCUGCAGCCCGCGGACGG
rnacentral:ncRNA from 1 species